rnacentral:rRNA from 1 species
UCGAAGUUGAUCCUGGCUCAGAUUGAACGCUGGCGGCAUGCCUAACACAUGCAAGUCGAACGGCAGCACAGUAGAGCUUGCUCUAUGGGUGGCGAGUGGCGGACGGGUGAGUAAUGCAUCGGGAUCUACCCAAACGUGGGGGAUAACGUAGGGAAACUUACGCUAAUACCGCAUACGUCUUACGAGAGAAAGCAGGGGACCUUCGGGCCUUGCGCGGUUGGACGAACCGAUGUGCGAUUAGCUAGUUGGUAGGGUAAUGGCCUACCAAGGCGACGAUCGCUAGCUGGUCUGAGAGGAUGAUCAGCCACACUGGAACUGAGACACGGUCCAGACUCCUACGGGAGGCAGCAGUGGGGAAUAUUGGACAAUGGGCGCAAGCCUGAUCCAGCAAUGCCGCGUGUGUGAAGAAGGCCUUCGGGUUGUAAAGCACUUUUAUCAGGAGCGAAAUACUACCGGCUAAUAUCCGGUGGGGCUGACGGUACCUGAGGAAUAAGCACCGGCU